rnacentral:snRNA from 1 species
GCUCCAGAUCUGGCUGCAACAUCUGCCACCCCAUUGGCCACCAGGGUUGAUUUAGCUGAUCUGGCUGGCUUGGCGGGUGCCCCCCUCCUCCUCACCGCUCCAUGUGCAUCCUUCCCGAAACUGCACACUCAAUCAAAAAGGACCGGCCUUCCCCGAAUAGAGACGGGCCAGUCUUCGGUAGAGGGUAUAUGAGUAGCUGCACUCCAAUGCUAGAACCUCCAAACAAGCGUACAUAUAUAAUGUCAAAAAUAGAUAUUUAUUAAUCUAUUAACUUUAGACGAUUUAUUUUGUAAGAAUCAAAAAUAUAAAAAUU